rnacentral:rRNA from 1 species
GACGAACGCUGGCGGCGUGCUUAACACAUGCAAGUCGAACGGAAAGGCCCUGCUUUUGUGGGGUGCUCGAGUGGCGAACGGGUGAGUAACACGUGAGUAACCUGCCCUUGACUUUGGGAUAACUUCAGGAAACUGGGGCUAAUACCGGAUAGGAGCUCCUGCUGCAUGGUGGGGGUUGGAAAGUUUCGGCGGUUGGGGAUGGACUCGCGGCUUGUCAGCUUGUUGGUGGGGUAGUGGCUUACCAAGGCUUUGACGGGUAGCCGGCCUGAGAGGGUGACCGGCCACAUUGGGACUGAGAUACGGCCCAGACUCCUACGGGAGGUAGCAGUGGGGAAUAUUGCACAAUGGGCGGAAGCCUGAUGCAGCAACGCCGCGUGCGGGAUGACGGCCUUCGGGUUGUAAACCGCUUUCGCCUGUGACGAAGCGUGAGUGACGGUAAUGGGUAAAGAAGCACCGGCUAACUACGUG